UUUUUUUUAAGAUUUUACGGAUUUUUUCAUGAGAGAUACAAAGAGAGGGAGAGACACAGGCCGAGGGAGAAGCCGGCUCCCUGCAGGGAGCCCGAUGGGACCCUGGGAUCCUGACCUGAGCCAAGGGCAGCCGCUCAACCACUGAGCCCUCAAGUAAAACUGGACUAGAGUGGGCACUUGACUUUGGGAACCAACCCAGAGGCUGGCUGUCCACCUCUAUCACAAAAGAGACACUGAAACAAUCAUAUUUCAUAGUCCUUGGAGAUGUGAAGCCCAUACUCCAGGAUGACGUUUCCGCCUCUGUUUUAUGGCCUUCCACAAUCCCCUUACCUUCUCAACUGGCCAAUAAGCUUUCCUUGCUGGCCUCCAGCCUUGGAUCAAUCAGCAACUUGCUUGCUCAGCCCCUACAAAUGAGCUAUUGAGUAGCUUGGAGAGGUUUCCAACUGGGCCAUCACGAAGCUAUAGUCACCAGAGGGAGCUGGUUGUUAAAUAUUUACCAGGAUACCAUUGCUGGGACCUAUGGAGCUACUCUUCUGCUAUCAGAACUGCCCCUGAGAGCAGGGGAGGACACAACAUGGGCUUGAAGUACUUCUUGAACGUUACCAGUACUUUGCUACAGGAAGGAAGCCGUCACCCCUGGAUCGCGUGCUACCGUCAGGAAGAUGGGUUAGGGAGUGCCGAGCAUUAAGAAACAGCCAAGAAGAUGCAAAACCAAGAGGUAAAGAUGCCAGCAGGCCUAGCUGGGUUUUCUGUGCUGGCAAGCGAGGUCUAACAUGGAAUAUCCAGAAAUCACACUGCAGUUCCACCAUUCUUGAUGUCCUCCCAGUUACAGACACCUGGAAAAAUCGAGACUUGUGCUCACCAUCCGAGCAUCUCUGGAAAAUGAGGGCUCGUAUUUUCAACCGAACUGCAUCCUUGACGACGGAUGCUGCCUUGGGUAGAGGGGAAAAGAGAAAACUCCCAAAGACCCACAGAAACAAGAAAGCCUUUCAGAGGACUCUACCGAAACGUGGUCAAAGGACAAACGGAUCAGGUUGUUAGUGAGAUGGAAUACGAACAUAUAAGUGAAAGGAGAACUGGCCAUGCCUAUGGUCAAUAAUUUAUCUCAGAGAUUCAUUCAGCCUCUCACCCAAUAUUUCCCUCCUGUCUAUUGAUUCCUCAUCAUUAUUUGUCAUAAGCUGUCCUAACUCAAGGAGAAAAUAUGCCCUGCUGGUCCAAGGGGAGUCAUACCUGGAGAAAUAGAAAGGAAUUUCAUUAAAAG
rnacentral:lncRNA from 1 species